AGUGAACGCUGGCGGUAGGCCUAACACAUGCAAGUCGAACGGCAGCACAGUAAGAGCUUGCUCUUACGGGUGGCGAGUGGCGGACGGGUGAGGAAUACAUCGGAAUCUACUUUUUCGUGGGGGAUAACGUAGGGAAACUUACGCUAAUACCGCAUACGACCUACGGGUGAAAGCAGGGGAUCUUCGGACCUUGCGCGAUUGAAUGAGCCGAUGUCGGAUUAGCUAGUUGGCGGGGUAAAGGCCCACCAAGGCGACGAUCCGUAGCUGGUCUGAGAGGAUGAUCAGCCACACUGGAACUGAGACACGGUCCAGACUCCUACGGGAGGCAGCAGUGGGGAAUAUAGGACAAUGGGCGCAAGCCUGAUCCAGCCAUACCGCGUGGGUGAAGAAGGCCUUCGGGUUGUAAAGCCCUUUUGUUGGGAAAGAAAAGCAGCAGGUUAAUACCCCGCUGUUCUGACGGUACCCAAAGAAUAAGCACCGGCUAACUUCGU
rnacentral:rRNA from 1 species